UACGUAGGGUGCGAGCGUUGUCCGGAAUUACUGGGCGUAAAGAGCUCGUAGGUGGUUUGUCGCGUUGUUCGUGAAAUCUCACGGCUUAACUGUGAGCGUGCGGGCGAUACGGGCAGACUGGAGUACUGCAGGGGGAGACUGGAAUUCCUGGUGUAGCGGUGGAAUGCGCAGAUAUCAGGAGGAACACCGGUGGCGAAGGCGGGGUCUCUGGGGCAGUAACUGACGCUGAGGAGCGAAAGCGUGGGGGAGCGAACAGG
rnacentral:rRNA from 1 species